AAGGGUUUUCAUUUACAGACCCCCGUUUUUGGGGGAACCCUGUUUUUUUUUUCCCCAAAAGAACGGGGGCCCCUUUUUUUUGGAAAAACUUUUUUUUUUUUCCCCCCAAAAAGGGAGGGGGGGCUUUUGUUACGAAAAAAUAUUAUCCAAACACUUUUAAUAGGGAACGCGGCCGACCCUUUUUAAUAAUAUCCUACUUCAAACCUUUUUUCAUAAAAGUUUUCCAAGGUUUUUCAACUUUCAACAUUUUAUCUCUUGGUUCUAGCGGCGAGGAAAUACGCUGCUAAAAGCAAUAAAUAACGUGAAUUGCCCAACUCCAGUGAAUCAUCAAAUCUUUGAACGCACAUUGUGCUCGCCAGUAUUCUGUGCGGCAUUGUCUUUAUUAAUGUUAUUUAUAACCCUCAAACCCUUAAGAGGGGUUC
rnacentral:misc_RNA from 1 species